GCCCAAACUAAACACUUGACAGUUGCUUGCUUCUUUAGCACAUGGCUUCCAAUUCCAAGAACAAAGUGCAUCACCUGUGAUUGGUCCCUGUAAAUUAAGUAAAAACGCGUGCAGUACUCAACAAGUCAUUUGGAUUUGGUGCACUAGCAUCUGCAGAGACUAUACGUGCAUCCCCAGAAGUGCUUGUGCAUCCAUUGAUUAUUUCUUCAACUUGCUUACCAAGGAUGUCAAGUGUGUUGUCUACUAACGUGGUUGCUUCUGGAAAGUUAGUCGCUCGAUGUGCUAAAUUGUGGAAUUUGUGAGACACAAAUCUGUAGCUAAGCAUUGCAGCCAUAUUUGGAUUUUCCAUUACGUUUCUUCCCAUGUUAUCUUUUAUAGUUCCACUCCUUGCUUCCUUCGUCCAUCGCUUUAGCACAUAUUGUGGUGGUAGUGACUUGAUAUUCAUCAAAUCAAGAACCUUAAGAGCAUGGGCACACAAUAUCCCAAUUCUAUCAAAUUGCCGCAGCUGCACACAGCUGUUUCCUUCAAAGGAUCACCGGUAACUUUAUACUCCUACUAGAUAUUCAUCAUUACCAACCAAAGCCUUUGUGCAAGCUGCCAAGGAUCUUUCAAAUUCACCUUGAAAAGCUUCAAAUAUAACAUGUGUAUAUAGCUUGCUAGCUUGCACCAACAUUGGUGGUGGUCUCCUCAUACAUAGUUUAGGCAACUUCUUCCUAGAAUCAAAUUCUGAGUCCAGCUCAUUAUUCCUUUUUCCUUGCACCACCCUUUCAAAAUGCUUAAAGAACCGAAUGAUAUCAAAAUCAGAUUUGAAAUGGAUUUUCAAGUCAUUGUUCAAACUCUCACUCAAUUGUGUACUUCUCAUUCCUAAUGUGAAGACAUCCUUCAUAUAACAUUCAACCCAUUUUUCUUUCACCUUGUAUAUACUAUCCAACCAAGUUUGUUUGCUCACCUUUUCUCUCAUGAGGUCAAAUUUUUGUUCAAACUCGAUCAUGUCUUCGUACUCAAACAUGCAUGCGCUAAAAUCUGAUAGAAUACUUGGCUCUUCAUUCUUCUCUGUUUUCUUUCCUUCAUUCUUCUUUUUUUCUUCCCUUCAUGCUUCUUUUGUUUCUUCCCUUCAUUCUUAUCUUCAUUCUUCCCUUCAUUCUGCUCUCCAUUCUUCCCUGCAGUCUUCUCUUCAUUAUUCUCUUCGUUCUUCUCCUCAUGCAGAUGUUUGAUAGCAUUUUGCAUAAUGUGAAAAGUGCAUAAUCCAUGCCAUGUUUCUGGAAACACCUCCCCAGCUGCAUUUCCCAUUGCAGUAUCUUGAUCCGUAUAGAAUGUUUUAGGAUGUUGUCCAUUAUGGGCUUUGAGAAAGGUUUUAAACAACCACUCGAAGGAAUCAAACGUUUCAUCAUACAUGAGAGCAGCACCAAAAACUACAGUUUCUCUCCUUGUUUGUUCCAAAAGUGGUGUCAAAACUAACAACAUCACCCAAAUGUGCGUAGUCCAUGAUCAUUUUAGCAUCAGCCCAAAAUAUAUUUGCUAUUUGCUCUUCACAAUCCAUUUGCAAGGCAUAUUGGAAUGAUGGGUUUUCUGCAACUUUGUCUUGAAAAUACUUAAGCAUGCUACCUGCUUCGCCAUAUGCCAUCUCUCGUUGUCGCUUUGUCCGCAAAUAAUUCUUGCGAUCACGAAGGGUGUAGCUAAGAUUGAGUGGUCCGCCAACUUGGCGACUAGCCAACUCCCCCAAUUCCAGCGGCAUCUGCUGUGUCGAUUUCAAAAGAUUGUACCUCUGAAAUUUUCCUUUGUGACACCAUUAAGUGCAAGGUCUCUGGCAGAUGUAGUGUGUGAUUGUGUUCCAAAGACAACUCAGACACUUUUAAAUUUCCCUUCUUUCUAUCCUUUUUAGAUUCAUGAAGACUUGACAUUCCGUUCUAGUUUCAGCUCUAGGGCACUUUGUUAAAUGAUCCCUUUUGUCUUGCGAUCGAUGUCCCUCGUUUGCACAAACAAAUCUGCAUGAUGUAACCUUGCCAUCGGUUGGCCUUCUGUUUGUGUACCUUUUUCUGACCUCAAAACCUUUCUGGCCACUGUAGGUCAGCCAAAAUGCCCAAGCCUCAUCCGAGUUUCUAAAUUCCAUGCCAACAAGAGGUACCAAACCAGGAAGUAUAGCUCUACAAUGAAAAAAACAACAUGAGCAAGGGACAUGUGAAGUGCAGAGCAAAUAUUAGAACCAAUGUAAAAGAGAACAUAGAAUGAAUAGUUGUCAUUGGGGACAUGAAACAGUUCGUGUAAACUCUUGUUAAAAAUUCUGAGACUCAGGCCAAAUAGAAUAAGCAAGGGAGCAAUAGUAUUUGGACAACUUAAAUUUGUCUGAUCUCUCCUUAGAAAUAACAUACAUACUGGGUGUUGUAUCACUUACGUA